rnacentral:rRNA from 2 species
UGUUUGAUGUUCUAACGUGGACCCGUGAUCCGGGUUGCGGACAGUGUCUGGUGGGUAGUUUGACUGGGGCGGUCUCCUCCUAAAGAGUAACGGAGGAGCACGAAGGUUGGCUAAUCCUGGUCGGACAUCAGGAGGUUAGUGCAAUGGCAUAAGCCAGCUUGACUGCGAGCGUGACGGCGCGAGCAGGUGCGAAAGCAGGUCAUAGUGAUCCGGUGGUUCUGAAUGGAAGGGCCAUCGCUCAACGGAUAAAAGGUACUCCGGGGAUAACAGGCUGAUACCGCCCAAGAGUUCAUAUCGACGGCGGUGUUUGGCACCUCGAUGUCGGCUCAUCACAUCCUGGGGCUGAAGUAGGUCCCAAGGGUAUGGCUGUUCGCCAUUUAAAGUGGUACGCGAGCUGGGUUUAGAACGUCGUGAGACAGUUCGGUCCCUAUCUGCCGUGGGCGCUGGAGAACUGAGGGGGGCUGCUCCUAGUACGAGAGGACCGGAGUGGACGCAUCACUGGUGUUCGGGUUGUCAUGCCAAUGGCACUGCCCGGUAGCUAAAUGCGGAAGAGAUAAGUGCUGAAAGCAUCUAAGCACGAAACUUGCCCCGAGAUGAGUUCUCCCUGAGACUUAGAGUCUCCUGAAGGAACGUUGAAGACGACGACGUUGAUAGGCCGGGUGUGUAAGCGCAGCGAUGCGUUGAGCUAACCGG